UUUCUAGCUUAUACUGUAGUUUCGACCUAUAUAUUUUUAGCUAGCUAG
rnacentral:tRNA from 1 species